GACGAACGCUGGCGGCGUGCUUAACACAUGCAAGUCGAACGGUAAGGCCCUUCGGGGUACACGAGUGGCGAACGGGUGAGUAACACGUGGGUGAUCUGCCCUGCACUUCGGGAUAAGCCUGGGAAACUGGGUCUAAUACCGGAUAGGACCAUGCGCUUCAUGGUGUGUGGUGGAAAGCUUUUGCGGUGUGGGAUGGCCCGCGGCCUAUCAGCUUGUUGGUGGGGUAAUGGCCUACCAAGGCGACGACGGGUAGCCGGCCUGAGAGGGUGACCGGCCACACUGGGACUGAGAUACGGCCCAGACUCCUACGGGAGGCAGCAGUGGGGAAUAUUGCACAAUGGGCGCAAGCCUGAUGCAGCGACGCCGCGUGAGGGAUGACGGCCUUCGGGUUGUAAACCUCUUUCAGUAGGGACGAAGCGCAAGUGACGGUACCUACAGAAGAAGGACCGACCAACUACGUGCCAGCCGCCGCAGUAA
rnacentral:rRNA from 1 species